UACGUAGGGUGCAGGCGUUAAUCGGAAUUACUGGGCGUAAAGCGUGCGCAGGCGGUUUCUUAAGUCAGAUGUGAAAGCCCCGGGCUUAACCUGGGAACUGCGUUUGAAACUGGGAGACUUGAGUGUGGCAGAGGGGGGUGGAAUUCCACGUGUAGCAGUGAAAUGCGUAGAUAUGUGGAGGAGCACCGAUGGCGAAGGCAGCCCCCUGGGUUAACACUGACGCUCAUACACGAAAGCGUGGGGAGCAAGCAGG
rnacentral:rRNA from 1 species